rnacentral:sRNA from 12 species
UCCAGGCAAGAACAUUGUCUGGGCCACACGUCUUCCAAUCUGAACGCAUUCAUUAUUUAGCGUUCGGGUGCAAUACAGCCGCAACACUGAGUAGCGUGAUAGCGUGAAAUCGUGAAGCGGCAGUGGUUUAUUUCGGUUGGAAGACUACCCGGU